UUUAAAUGAAGACCAGAACAAAAGAUUAAACGUUUAAAUUAAUAUCUCUAUUUAAUAUAUCCAAUUUAUCUUAAAUGUAAAAAGACAUUUAUAAAAAAGAAAGACGACAAGACCCUAUUGAACUUAACUUUAGUUAAACUGGGGCAGUUAAUUAAUAAUCACUUUAAUAAAAAUAAUUAAACAGAUGAUCCAAUAUCAUUGACAACCCCCCCAGUUACCAUAGGGAUAACAGCGUAAUAAUUUUCUAAAGUCCUUAUAAAAAUAAUAGUUUACGACCUCGAUGUUGAAUUAAUUACCUAAUUAGAGCAAAAGCCAAUUAAGGAAGUCUGUUCGACUUUUAAAAAAUUACAUGAUUUGAGUUCAGACCGGUACAAGCCAGGUCGGUUUCCAUCUUCUAAAUAAUUCUUACAGUACGAAAGGGCCUAAAGAAACUAA
rnacentral:rRNA from 1 species